AGAUCGACGUAACCCUACCCCUUCACCAAUUUCCUGGCUCCCUCCCCUCGCGAUCUCCAAAUCCCGCCGCCGCCGCUUUGCCCUCCCAAAAUCGCCGCCGCCGCCAGGCCGAUUCCCCAUCUCCCCCAUUGCCCAACCCUAGCCGCCAGCCCGCCACCCGCAGGCCGUCCGCAUCCGGCCCUCUGCCCCUCCGUGUCGCCGCUCCGGUCCUUCGCUGCUCCGUCCCUCCACUUCCCGCACGACCAGACGGGUGUGCGGGCGGGCCUGCGGCAGCCUGUGCCGCGGGCUUGCGCGGCCGUGCUGCAGCCAUUGCGUCGCCCCGCCGCGGCCUCGUCCCUGUGUGCCGCCCGGCCGGCCGGUCCCCAAGGUCUGCUCGGCACCUACUGCCCCGGCCGGACCCCAUCCUGCGGCCUCACGCAGCCGUGCUGCGCCCCUCGCCGCGGUUCUGCGAUGUGCGCGUCCAAUAAUCACUGCCUCCCUCUUUCGGCUGGUGCGAGUCUUCUUCCAAACCAUUGCGCCUCCAAUAACCAUUGUUUCCUUUUUGUGCUGUACAAUUUCAUAAUUCUGUUUAUAGAUCUUUUAUGUGCAGUAUUUCCUUUUUAUAUGUGCUAUUUUUCCCCUUCUAUCGUCUCCCCAGAAUUUGCACUUACCAAUCUAUCAAAUUAGCUAAUGUGAGCUGCUUCAACCUUAAUGUUGUUGCACAUGGCUGUUGACAUUUGGAGGUGUUGGAUUAUUGCUUUGUUUUUUAGUGAGGCAACAAAUGGAAUUUAAGUGACCCAGGAAUCCACAUUGGUAACCUACAAGUACCUAUCAUUUGCAGGAAAUUAGAGGGAAUGACUAUAACAAAGUCUGAUUGGUAAGCCACAACUACAAGUAUCUAUCAUCUGCCCAGCAUGACUAUAUCUAGAAACCUUAUUUAUACCUAUCUGUCCUUGGCAUGUGCAUGCAUCUUCCAUUCAACAUUGAGCAUGUAUAUAUGCAGUAAUAGCAUAGUGUUUUUACCUUGAACUGAGCAGGAGCAGCCCUGUUUUUUUACCAGUUUUGAUCUCAUACCUUUUAAAAGAUGUCCAGGCAGAUUUAAUGCAUGAUUGACUUUGCAGAUGCUCCAAGACAGGAGACAAGUUGCCGUGCCCAAGUAGGAAUGGCUAGCUGCUGCACACUGAGUGCCACGCAUGGCCAUACAUGGAUGCAAGAUCAUUUUCACACCAAGAAAAUCAAUGUGCUCAUGGAUGGUAUUGACUAUUCCUAGCAUAGACAAAUCGUUUUGCAAGCCAAACAUGUGAUCUGUGCACUGAUGUUUUGUACAUAGUAGUUGUGCAAGCUAAACUUGUGAUAUCUGCAAGCCAAAGCAUGUGGCCUGUGGAAACUAAAUGGCAUGUCUAGAUACUUGUCUGAUCUAGCUUGCUGCUUUUGAAUUUUGUCAAAAGUUGUACUAGUUCCCCCUUAAAAUCAAGCUUGAAAUCCAUUCCCUUCAUGGCUUUACCAUA